GUGGGCUCAGAAUAUCCCAUUAGCUUAGGCUGAAUCUGCUAUAGAAGCCAACCCACUGUGCUCCUUAAAGUGUUACGGAAUUUAUUUAUUCAUUUCCCAGAAAGAAAAAAUAAUUUGCAGUCAGCAUUAAAUUAUCAUUAUUUCUUUGGGAAUUUUUUUAAGUCUUCCAAAGAGAAUAUAAGCACCACAACUUUGCCAGUACAGGAAGAACUUGAAAAAAAGGGAUGUUUCUUCUGUUAGACAUGUAUGGUUUUAUAAAUCUAUUUUACACACAUUUUUGGUCAGUAAAUUAGAUAAUGCAUUUGAAUAUCUCUGACUCCAAAAUAAGAGAAAUGAGUUUCUCUUUGUAUAGUGCUCCACAAACUGUAAGGUGUGACUCACAGUUUCUUUCAUGGGUUC
rnacentral:lncRNA from 1 species